AGGAAAGACUGGGUACAUGUGUGUAUGGAGACAUGGGUUUUAGAGGAUAAAUAGACUUUGGAGAAGUUAAAAGGACUUGAGACACUCUUUGUUGUCUAGUUUAGGGAAUGUGUAAGAACUGGCCUGACUAGAAGGUCAAGUACAUGCUGGGAAAUGAUGGGAUCAGAUUAUGGAGAUUUGAAUAUUGAGCAACGGAGUUUGUUGAAUGAUUUAAUAACCAUAUUGGGUUUUUGUACAGGGAAGUAAUUUAAUGGGAAUAGUGUAAGAAAAUUAGUUUUUCAUCAAUAUACAGGAAGAAUUAAAGUGGAAAAACGCUGAAAAGAUAGAUGCACUUGCCUAGGCCUGAGGAUUGUCACCAGACCUGCAAUCUAUGGAGCAGAUUCGGAGAAUUAUGAGACCUACUGAUGUCCCUGAUACAGGUUUGCUCUGUGAUUUGCUAUGGUCUGAUCCAGAUAAGGAUGUGCAAGGCUGGGGAGAAAAUGAUCGUGGUGUUUCCUUUACUUUUGGAGCUGAUGUAGUCAGUAAAUUUCUGAAUCGUCAUGAUUUAGAUUUGAUUUGUCGAGCUCAUCAGGUGGUGGAAGAUGGAUAUGAAUUUUUUGCUAAACGACAGUUGGUAACCUUAUUUUCAGCCCCAAAUUACUGUGGCGAGUUUGAUAAUGCUGGUGGAAUGAUGAGUGUGGAUGAAACUUUGAUGUGUUCAUUUCAGAUAUUGAAACCAUCUGAAAAGAAAGCUAAGUACCAGUAUGGUGGACUGAAUUCUGGACGUCCUGUCACUCCACCUCGAACAGCUAAUCCACCGAAGAAAAGUCCUUCCUUCAGAAGGGAAAUUUCUGAGGGUCAGGAAGGGGAAUCUGUACCUCACUUCUUGAACACCAAGGAAGGAAUAUUGGGAAACCAAAAUGAGGCACAAUCAGAUGUGUUGUGAGACACCACCUACUGUCACUGUUUAUGUAAAAUCAGGGUCAAAUAGAUCACAUCAGCCUAAAAAGCCCAUUACUCUGAAGCGUCCUAUUUUUAAAGAUAAUUGGCAAGCAUUUGAAAAAAAUACACAUAAUAACAACAAAUCUAAACGCCCCAAAGGACCUUGUCUGGUUAUACAGCGUCAGGAUAUGACUGCUUUCUUUAAAUUAUUUGAUGACGAUUUAAUUCAAGAUUUCUUGUGGAUGGACUGCUGCUGUAAAAUUGCAGACAAGUAUCUUUUGGCUAUGACCUUUGUUUAUUUCAAGAGGGCUAAAUUUACUAUAAGUGAGCAUACCAGGAUAAAUUUCUUUAUUGCUCUGUAUCUGGCUAAUACAGUUGAAGAAGAUGAAGAAGAAACCAAGUACGAAAUUUUUCCAUGGGCUUUAGGGAAAAAUUGGAGAAAAUUGUUCCCUAAUUUCUUAAAGUUAAGGGACCAGCUCUGGGAUAGAAUUGACUAUAGGGCUAUUGUAAGCAGGCGAUGCUGUGAGGAGGUUAUGGCCAUUGCACCAACCCAUUAUAUCUGGCAAAGAGAACGUUCUGUUCAUCACAGUGGAGCUAUCAGAAACUACAACAGAGAUGAAGUUCAGCUGCCCCGGGGACCUAGUGCCACACCAGUAGAUUGUUCACUCUGUGGUAAAAAAAGAAGAUAUGUUAGACUGGGAUUGUCUUCAUCAUCAUCUUUAUCCAGUCAUACAGCAGGGGUGACAGAAAAACAUUCUCAGGACUCAUACAACUCACUGUCAAUGGACAUAAUAGGUGAUCCUUCUCAAGCUUAUACCUGUUCUGAAGGUAUGAUUUAGUAAUAUGCUAGAAUUAGAUUUAUGCAUGUUGUUUACUGAGCUCUAGUCAGUCCUUGCUGGCAGGGAUACAUAAUAAUUUAUAUACUCCAACAAUAUGAGUUAAAUUAAUCUUGAAAUUUUCUCCCCUUUCAGUUACUUUUUGUCUUGUGUCCGUAUCUGUUUUGUGGUGACCCACCUAAACAGAUUUUUAAUGUGACCUAUGUUAAGUUGAAAACUAAUGCACCAUAAGCCUCAGUAUUUUAAGAGCCUGGAUCAUUUUUUUGAAAUGUUUAUUUUAUUCAAAAGGGUUUCAAGAAGAAAAUAAAUUUACUUGUAAUCUCA
rnacentral:sRNA from 1 species